UUUACUUUGGCAGAGUAUGCGUUAGAUUUAGAAUUUAAUUAUAUAGGGAUAAUCUAUAAGUAAAA
rnacentral:tRNA from 1 species